GAAAAAUAGCUUGCAACGAAUUCGAUUAAAACUUAAAAGGCAUUGAUGAAGAAUGAAACUAUCGUACCCAAAUUUGUUCCUUUGGAAUGGCCAAGGACGGAAAUAUUGCUAAUUGCCUAUUGAUGGAACAUUUUUCUUUGUUAUCCAUAUCAAGUGAAAAAAUAUUUGACUGUUCUUUUUAUUUUUCAGUGUAAUAAUAAUUCAAGAACAUAAAAUCUUGUACUUUAUGAUUGGAUUAGAGCCAAGCUGAAAUGGUUCUUGGAGUCGUCAAAAUACCCCAUCUAAGGUCAGAGCAUUUCAAAAAUCCCUUAUGCAAUUCCGAUCUCUCGCCACGCCCAUUACACCAGUUUACCAGUAAUUGAUGACUUUGGUACAUUUACAUUUGUCAUCCAAAGUUGAUUUUGCAGAGAUACAGCCCUAAUCUGCAAUUUGCACCGCCACCCAAAAUAAAAUCUACUUCCCAAAAUCCCCCCAUUGCAAAUCCAAAGGGGUCUCUUGGCAUCUCUCUUAUAAAUUGCUCACAGUGGCUUCCUUCCGAUUCAUCAUUAUUUCUUGAAACUGUGCACGUUUGGCAUCCCUGAUAUCAAAUAUACUUGGUGGCACAGGUUUGAUAGAACCAUGCAACUCAACCAGGUUAAAAAAUUCUUGUUUGGACAAACUUUUCUUCUGAACUAGUUGAUCAACAACAGCAUCCAUCAGCUUUCGGUUCUGCUGCAGAAUCUCUUUAGCACGCUCAUAACACAAGUUUACAAUCUGAAGUGCCUCUAAAUCAAUUUCAUUGAUUCGAUCUGCAACCCAGAAGUCAAAAAGGCCAUAAUGUUUCUCAGAAAGCCCACCAAGAACAUAAGUUCGUGCUGCUGACCUAGCAUUGUCUGCUGUUUCUGCCCAUAUCGUACUCAACUGACCCUCACCAUGCCAAAGCUCAUCGGCUGCACGAGGUGCCAGUUGAACAGUGAUAUGAUCCAGGAGAGAUUGCCGACUAAGCAUUCCCUCCUUAAAUUUGACAUGAUCCAUUUUCAUUCUAACAUAACCAAGUUCCCUGCCAGCUCUAGGAGCAAUAGUGACCUGGUCACAAUAAAAAAAUAACAAUAGUUAACUUAUAUGUAUUUCAUAUUAUUUUACAAAUUGUCCAUCGAAUUUUCUUAUCGUCCUCUGAAAUCCAGAGCAUUUUUCUUUUUUCAAACUGAAAUCCACUGCAAUUUGUAUAGCACCAAAAAUAGCCAUUCACAAAGGUCUAGCAAAGUCUCUAUCAACUAAAGCAAUGUGCACUGUGCAGGAGAAAUGCACUGUGCGCUCUUGCUCUGUGCACAGACAAGUUCAAGUAUGACAAAGUGUAUGCAAGAAAAAAACUUUAAUAAAAAAGUUAAAAGACCAUACAAACUCAAUAUUUUUAAGAUCUGGAAAGUUCACAGCUACAACAGCCAUGGCUGCUUCAUUAAUAGCUACUUGCUUCCAUGUUUCAGGGCUUCUUUCCUUCCUAUCUAGCAUUCCUCUCUCUUCUAUUUGAGCAGCUUGUAGUAAGUCAUCAGUUGUAAUCUCAGUCCUUCCAUCACGCAUCAUAUUAAUUGCAGCAACCUCAAUUAUAUUGGCCAGCUCAGCACCAACCAUUCCAUCUGUUAUACUAGCAACAGCCAUGUAGUCCACAUCAUCAGCCAUAGGCUUUUUACGAGCAUGAACCUUCAGAAUUUCCAUGCGGCCUAUAAGGCCAGGUUUGGGUAUAAAAAUUUUUCUAUCAAAGCGUCCAGGUCUCACUAGUGCCGGAUCUAGAAUAUCGGGUCUAUUGGUGGAAGCAAUAGUUAUCACUUCCCCUCUUCCUUCAAACCCAUCCAAGCAUACAAGAAGCUGAUUAAGAGUAGCAUCACGUUCUUGCCCACCAGAACCUUUUAUCAACCCACGCUCCCUUCCAACAGCAUCCAGUUCAUCAAUAAAGACAACAGAUGGAGCAUUUUCCUUUGCUUCUUGGUAAAGUGAUCUGACACGAGAAGCACCAACUCCUACAUAUAUUUCCACAAACUGAGAUGCAGAAAUGGAGAAGAAGUUCACACCCGCCUCACCAGCUACAGCUUUUGCCAGUAAAGUUUUCCCCACUCCAGGAGGUCCACAAAGAAGAAUGCCACCUGGUAUCCUCACUCCUCUCCUCCGAUACAUCUCCCCAUGUGUGAAAAACUUCACAAUCUCCUCAAGUUCAAGUCGUAUUUUCCCAAGCCCUGCAACAUCCGAAAACUUUACAUCCACACCCCUCUCCAAAUACUGAGGCAAUCUCCUAUUAUGCGCACGCCUAACUCUUGCACCUGACUUCAUGAACUGCAUAGCCAUUUUCAUGUAGGCAUUCUGCUCCCUUUUCCCUUGCUCACCCUCACCCUCAACCUCCUCCUCUUCCUCAAUUCCCAUCAUCUCCCUCUCCAACUCCUUCAUUUUCCUCCUUUCCUCUGCCUCUGCCUUCUCAAUCUUCAGCCUAUCUUCAUAGUCCUUCUUCUGCUUUCGAUAACUAAGCACCACAGUCCGGUAAAAUAUCACAAAAAACACCAACCCUAACAAUGUGGCCACAUUUGAGUCCUGUGCCAAAUCAGCCCACAUAUUGGCCAUCCUUGUGUAAUUCCUCUGUGCAUCACGCAAUGAUGCCUCAUACUUCUUUUUCCUAAUCUCCCUCUUUAUCCUUCUCUGCUCAUCUUUCUUUUGAAUUUUUAUUGCCUUUUCAAUCAUUUCCCGUUCCUCUCUCAUUCUUGCCAAUUCCUCUUUUCUUUGCCUCUUAAUCUCCUCUCUCAUUUUCCUCAACUCCAUAGCUCUCUUAGACUCCUUCUUAGGCUUUAACUUAGAUAACAUAAACUCUGGAACUUUCCACAAAAACCCUAAAUAUGGCUUAGGCAGCUCAGGUUUCUUGACCGGAGGGCUAUAUGCAUUAACACACAUUGUAUCAAUCUUUAACUCAUCCCAUGAAUCCCAAAACCUCUUAUUACUCUCUACUGAAGGCAAAACAGUCCUAAAAACUUUAUUAUCAUCCAAAACCACUAAAACAGCCUCUGCCCGUUCUUUAAAACGUGCUUUGGGCGCUUUAAUUACAUGUUUAAGCUUGUUGCUUUCUUUGAAACUCAAUAUUUCAGUAUAUGGGAUUCGAUUUGAUACAAUUGGGAGAUCUUUAGACCAUUGUUUAAGCUGGUCCAGGGUUAAAGAUUCUUGUGGUGUUUUUUUCUGGGUUUUCUUUUUAUGGCCUGUCUUCGCUGCUGCGGCAAGGACGGUUUGUGGCGAGAGAGAGGCGGAGAUUAUGGUGAGAGUUAUGGGUGCAGUGAGAAAACUGAAAUUGGUUUUAUUAGCUUUAUGUGUUUUACUAGUUUCACUAUGAUUUUCAAGACUUGGGUCUUGUUUUUGGCAAGAAAUGGAAGGGUAAUCGCGUGGUUUUAGCAGAAAUUUGUAGGGUUUUUGGGCUUUGGGGAGGAAUGAAGAGCUAAAGAGCAAAUGACUGGCCAUGGAAAUGGAAAAUAUAUAGAUGAAUUCAAUGAAACUAAGAGAAGAAAAAGAGAAACUCACAUUUUAGAAGCUGUUAUGUUUGAAAGGGAGCUCGCUUUGACUGAUGAAUCAAAUUGAAAUUUCAAAGAGAGAGUUCUGCGUUCUGUUUCAG
rnacentral:misc_RNA from 1 species